GACGAACGCUGGCGGCGUGCUUAACACAUGCAAGUCGAGCGGAAAGGCCCCUUCGGGGGUACUCGAGCGGCGAACGGGUGAGUAACACGUGAGUAAUCUGCCCUUCACUUUGGGAUAACCCCCGGAAACGGGAGCUAAUACCGGAUAUGACCACCGUCCGCAUGGGCUGGUGGUGGAAACUUUUUUGGGUGGGGGAUGUGCUCGCGGCCUAUCAGCUUGUUGGUGGGGUAAUGGCCUACCAAGGCUUUGACGGGUAGCCGGCCUGAGAGGGUGACCGGCCACACUGGGACUGAGACACGGCCCAGACUCCUACGGGAGGCAGCAGUGGGGAAUAUUGGACAAUGGGCGGAAGCCUGAUCCAGCAACGCCGCGUGAGGGAUGACGGCCUUCGGGUUGUAAACCUCUUUCAGCACCGACGAAGCGCAAGUGACGGUAGGUGCAGAAGAAGGACCGGCCAACUACGUGCCAGCCGCCGCGGUAAAAC
rnacentral:rRNA from 1 species